AUGAACGCUAGCGGCAGGCUUAACACAUGCAAGUCGAGGGGCAGCGGGGAGUAGCAAUACUUUGCCGGCGACCGGCGGACGGGUGCGUAACGCGUAUGCAACCUACCUAUUACCGGGGGAUAAGCUGGAGAAAUUCGGUCUAACACCGCGUAAUACGAGAUAAGGCAUCUUAUUUUGUUGAAAUUUGAGAGGUAAUAGAUGGGCAUGCGUGACAUUAGCUAGUUGGUAGGGUAACGGCCUACCAAGGCGACGAUGUCUAGGGGGACUGAGAGGUUAACCCCCCACACUGGUACUGAGACACGGACCAGACUCCUACGGGAGGCAGCAGUGAGGAAUAUUGGUCAAUGGGCGGAAGCCUGAACCAGCCAUGCCGCGUGCAGGAAGGAGGCUCUAAGAGUUGUAAACUGCUUUUGUACGAGGGUAACAGCGGGUACGUGUACCUGUAUGAAAGUAUCGUACGAAUAAGGAUCGGCUAACUCCGUGCCAGCAGCCGCGGUAAUACGGAGGAUCCGAGCGUUAUCCGGAUUUAUUGGGUUUAAAGGGUGCGUAGGUGGUUAAUUAAGUUAGCGGUAAAAUCUGUAGGCUCAACCUAUAUAAGCCGUUAAGACUGAAUAGCUAGAGAGAGGAUGCAGCAGGCGGAAUGUGUAGUGUAGCGGUGAAAUGCAUAGAUAUUACACAGAACACCGAUUGCGAAGGCAGCUUGCUAAGCCUUAUCUGACACUGAAGCACGAAAGCGUGGGUAGCGAACGGGAUUAGAUACCCCGGUAGUCCACGCAGUAAACGAUGAUAACUGGUUGUCGGCGAUACACGGUCGGUGACUAAGCGAAAGCGAUAAGUUAUCCACCUGGGGAGUACGACCGCAAGGUUGAAACUCAAAGGAAUUGACGGGGGCCCGCACAAGCGGAGGAACAUGUGGUUUAAUUCGAUGAUACGCGAGGAACCUUACCCGGGCUUAAAUUGCAUUUGAAUAUAUUGGAAACAGUAUAGUCGUAAGACAAAUGUGAAGGUGCUGCAUGGUUGUCGUCAGCUCGUGCCGUGAGGUGUCGGGUUAAGUCCCAUAACGAGCGCAACCCCUACCGAUAGUUGCCAGCGGGUAAAGCCGGGGACUCUAUCGGGACUGCCAGAGUAAUCUGCGAGGAAGGUGGGGAUGACGUCAAAUCAGCACGGCCCUUACGUCCGGGGCGACACACGUGUUACAAUGGAUGGUACAGAGGGGCACGAGGCAGUGAUGCCGAGGGAAUCUCGAAAGCCAUUCUCAGUUCGGAUUGGAGGCUGGAACUCGCCUCCAUGAAGUUGGAUUCGCUAGUAAUCGCGCAUCAGCCAUGGCGCGGUGAAUACGUUCCCGGGCCUUGUACACACCGCCCGUCAAGCCAUGGGAGUCUGGGGUGCCUGAAGAUCGUGACCGCAAGGAGCGAGUUAGGGCAAAACAGGUAACUGGGGCU
rnacentral:rRNA from 1 species